GAUGAACGCUAGCGGCAGGCCUAACACAUGCAAGUCGAGGGGUAACAGAGAGAAGCUUGCUUCUUUGCUGACGACCGGCGCACGGGUGCGUAACGCGUAUACAAUCUACCUUACACUGGGGGAUAGCCUUUAGAAAUGAAGAUUAAUACCCCAUAGUAUUAUUGAGUCGCCUGAUUUAAUAAUUAAAGGUUACGGUGUAAGAUGAGUAUGCGUUCUAUUAGCUAGAUGGUGUGGUAACGGCACACCAUGGCAACGAUAGAUAGG
rnacentral:rRNA from 1 species